GGCUAGGGGGUCCCCUACUAGCAGCCAAGGCAGAAGGAACUGCCCUGCCAGAAAGAAAAGAAAAGAGAAGCAGAGCUGGUCACCACUAGGUGACAGAGAACCCUGCUGAUGGUGCUUCAGGCCAUAAUGUUGCUGAACUUUCUGAAUUUCUACAGAAAAGUCUAGGAGGGAUUAUUACUGUGACUCCAAAGAAGUUGGUACAAAGUGUUUCAGAAUGUCAACUGCUCUGAUGUGCUGCGACCCAUCCCACAUCCCCUGGGCUCAGUGCAUGCAGGGCUCCCAGACAACUGUGGUUGUGCCUCUGCCCUCCACAGGGGCCUCUCUGGGGAGGCACCCCAGAGCCACCCUUCCCCUUCCUGCACUGCUGCUGUGCCCCAAGCUUGCCCCUGCUGUGUGUUCCUUGGGUGGCGCAUGAUGAGCUGUUUGUGCAGAUGGAGGGGUGCCUGAGUCAGUAUGUCCUGCUAAUGAUGAUCCUUCUGGUGCACCAGGCACACCUGGUCUCCUGGUUUGGGACCUUGAGCUACAGUGGCGUUGGGGCAAUCAUAGGCUGUCCUGCAACCUCCGCUACCACCUGGAGGGCUGUUUGUCACCAUGCUACACAUCCCUGCCCCCUGCACCAAGGAGGGCAUUGCUGUUGGCAUCGACACCUUCCUCAGCAUGUGACAGGCCUGUGCCCACCCAUCUGCAGGGAUAUGGGCUGCUGAAAAAAGUUCUGAAUGGUGUUGCACCUCUCUGUGUGCUGAGGGGAGG